rnacentral:misc_RNA from 1 species
AACAAUAUGGCGGUGACAUGAACAGGUGCCCGCUAAGAAUUAAUUGAACAAAAACAACCCGCAAUCUAAGAUAAUAAGGAUACAAGUAUGGCGCUUGUAAAACUUGAGGAAACACUCGGGCGUCCAGCCUGGGGACGAGAUCAUACCAAAAGUAAAAAGAGCAACUUGCCAAACCGUAAUGGAAAGCCUCCAACAAUUGAUUAUGAAAAACUGAGAUGGCUGAAUAAUUUAGAAGGACUGAAAGGAAGAGACUACAGAGAAUCAUCUGAGGAUGCACACGAUGUAUUCAUGAAGAGUUAUCACCACAUGUUUGUCAAACCAGAGAAAAAAGCUGGUUUUCCCAUCCAUGCUGCCAAAAGACUUGAACAGCAAAAGUCAACAUUAUCAACUGUCACUUACAGAGCAACAGGAAAAACAACAGAAGCAGAUAAGACCAUAGCCAGGAAACAGUACCCUAUAGACGAAAUUACAUAUGACAUUAGAGAUUAUCUCCCCUUGUUGCACAAACAGCGUCAGAGUGAGCACCCGGAGGCUAUUUAUAGAUCGAACAUGAGAACACUUCGGAAACUUCUGAAAAAAUUGCCAUUUGAAAGGACAGCUUCAGAAAAUGACAAAAUGUUUUCCAUCUUGAAAACAAUUGAGUUUUUCCAAGAUAAAUUCCCGUCCACUGUCCUGAAGGAGUUGUGUGUUGUGGCGGUGUGUGAACAGUGGAAGGAUCCAGGGUUUUCAGUGUUCGGUAACACCAGCGUGUACAUGGUCCUGCGAGGGACAGUAUCACCGACCAGCCACCCUUACCUGGAUGACAUGGUAAAUGUCAACGAGAAAGGACAGCCAGGCUCACCCAGGUCACGCAAGACAGAAUCGGAUGGGGCGCUACUACUUGGACAAGGAGAUGUGUUCGGGACACUGAGGAAACAUGAGAAAGAUGAGCAAGGCAAUAAACCUUUUAGUGUUAUAACCAAUGAACCUAAUUGUGAAUUCAUGAAGAUUUCCUCAGCAGAUUAUAACCGGAUCAUUGAGCAAAUCAAACAGAGGGAGCACACAGAGAAGGUGAACCUCCUGUUAUCAUGUGGCCAGUACAAACUCUGGCCUCGCCAACCUCUCUUACAGGUGGCUGAAUUAAUCGAGUGGAUAUCGUGUCCUCCAAACACCAUACUUGCCAGUGAAGGGUACAAGGCCCCAUACAUAGGGUUUAUUAAGUCAGGGGAAUGCCACGUCCUCAGACAAGUAGAAGUCAUGUCAGAGAAACAUGCCAAAAGGGAGAGGAGAACCAAACAGGUAGUGAUGGGGAAGCUGAAUGACUCGGAGUCAUUUGCUGAGCUAAGCAUUCUCCUUGAUGAACCAAUCACCUGCUCUAUAGUGACAGCUACCAAUGUACAGCUGGGCAUAAUAAAACCAGAGAGAGUCGAAGAACUAGAUGAAGUGACUAUCCAGUUAUUCAAGCAAUCAAAUGUGAGGACGUUUGGAGAUCUAUCAAAGGAUAAUAUCCAGGAUGAAUACAUGCACCAAGAACUAAAGCGAGAGUGGAAUGAAUUCAAACACGGUGUUGUGGUCGAUGUGAUUAACUAUCGUGGUAUACGACCCGGCUAUGGCAAGUGGGCAAAGUGACCUUGACCUCACAAAAAAGUGACCUUAGAUCUAAACUGUGCUAAAAAUAUAUAAAAAAGAUAUUAUUUUGUCUAAAACAAGAAGUGAAGAGACAUACAGGUUAGACGUGUGACUGAACUGGAUGUAUUAACUUUGUGUAUUCCUGGCAUGUAGAUCAUGUUUAGGCUAUAUUCCCCGACUGAUAGACAAUCAAUAUGAACCCAUUUAGUGUCAAAAUCAUACAUCAACAGAAGCAGCCUGUGUGUUUGAGGGCUGGACAGGACUCGGAUAUAUAUUUGAUGAGUGACCCUGAUGGUUGUUCAGUAUUGGAACGUAGAUGCCUAAAAUAAUCAUGUAUGCUAUUUUAUGAUUAAGUUAAUGUGUAUCAGUGCCACCAUCAACCCACUGAUUCCUAGAAAAAGUGGCAGGAUUGUGACAAAGCUGGAUUACCUCAACAAAUUUGCAAUAAAAUACUACAUUGCCUCCUAAAUCACCGGCUUGAUAGUAGGACAACUGCAUAAUUUACAGCUGCAAAUAUGUAGCCAGUUAGGUGCUGGCAGUAUCGCAGUACAGUGCUCCAACCAGAUAAAAGGUGGCAGUAUAUUGGUACAGCCUGAUAAAAGGUGGCAGUAUAUUGGUACAGACAGAUAAAAGGUGGCAGUAUAUUGGUACAACCUGAUAAAAGGUGGCAGUAUAUUGGUACAACCUAAUAAAUGGUGGCAGUAUAUUGGUACAGAUAGAUAAAAGGUGGCAGUAUAUUGGUACAGCCUGAUAAAAGGUGGCAGUAUAUUGGUAC